GUGCUUGCUUCGGCAGCACAUAUACUGAAAUUGGAACAGUACAGAGAUUACCAUGGCCACUGCGCGAGGAUGACAUGCAAAUUCAUGAGGGAUUCCAUAUUUUU
rfam:Tupaia chinensis contig41023, whole genome shotgun sequence.